UGUGCUAUGGCUUAGUUGGUUAAAGCGCUGGCCUAGCGAAUACGGAAUCGUGGGUUCUAAUCCCACCAGGACGC
rfam:Aedes albopictus isolate Foshan contig135152, whole genome shotgun sequence.